ACGGAGGAUGCGAGCGUUAUCCGGAUUUAUUGGGUUUAAAGGGUGCGUAGGCGGACCGAUAAGUCAGUGGUGAAAACCUGCAGCUUAACUGUAGACGUGCCAUUGAUACUGUCGGACUUGAGUGUGGUCAAGGUAGGCGGAAUGUGUAAUGUAGCGGUGAAAUGCUUAGAUAUUACACAGAACACCGAUUGCGAAGGCAGCUUGCUGGACCAUUACUGACGCUGAUGCACGAAAGCGUGGGGAGCGAACAGGAUUAGAUACCCUGGUAGUCCACGCCGUAAACGAUGAUCACUCGCUGUUAGCGAUAUACAGUUAGCGGCUAAGCAAAAGCAUUAAGUGAUCCACCUGGGGAGUACGGCCGCAAGGCUG
rnacentral:rRNA from 1 species